AGAGUUUGAUCCUGGCUCAGAUUGAACGCUGGCGGCAGGCCUAACACAUGCAAGUCGAACGGUAACAGGAAGAAGCUUGCUUCCUUGCUGACGAGUGGCGGACGGGUGAGUAAUGUCUGGGAAACUGCCUGAUGGAGGGGGAUAACUACUGGAAACGGUAGCUAAUACCGCAUAACGUCGCAAGACCAAAGAGGGGGACCUUCGGGCCUCUUGCCAUCGGAUGUGCCCAGAUGGGAUUAGCUAGUAGGUGGGGUAACGGCUCACCUAGGCGACGAUCCCUAGCUGGUCUGAGAGGAUGACCAGCCACACUGGAACUGAGACACGGUCCAGACUCCUACGGGAGGCAGCAGUGGGGAAUAUUGCACAAUGGGCGCAAGCCUGAUGCAGCCAUGCCGCGUGUAUGAAGAAGGCCUUCGGGUUGUAAAGUACUUUCAGCGGGGAGGAAGGGAGUAAAGUUAAUACCUUUGCUCAUUGACGUUACCCGCAGAAGAAGCACCGGCUAACUCCGUGCCAGCAGCCGCGGUAAUACGGAGGGUGCAAGCGUUAAUCGGAAUUACUGGGCGUAAAGCGCACGCAGGCGGUUUGUUAAGUCAGAUGUGAAAUCCCCGGGCUCAACCUGGGAACUGCAUCUGAUACUGGCAAGCUUGAGUCUCGUAGAGGGGGGUAGAAUUCCAGGUGUAGCGGUGAAAUGCGUAGAGAUCUGGAGGAAUACCGGUGGCGAAAGCGGCCCCCUGGACGAAGACUGACGCUCAGUGCGAAAGCGUGGGGAGCAAACAGGAUUAGAUAC
rnacentral:rRNA from 1 species